rnacentral:tRNA from 1 species
GCCUUGGUGGCGGAAUUGGCAGACGCGCUGGAUUCAAAAUCCAGUGAGGGCAACCUCAUGGGAGUUCGAGUCUCCCCCGGGGCACCA